GUGGUAAUGCCGGAUGCUCCAGUUGAUCGCAUGGUCUUCUGGGAAAGCUUUCGCGGUAUGGGAUGGGGUCGCGUCCUAUCAGCUUGACGGCGGGGUAACGGCCCACCGUGGCUUCGACGGGUAGCCGGCCUGAGAGGGCGACCGGCCACAUUGGGACUGAGAUACGGCCCAGACUCCUACGGGAGGCAGCAGUGGGGAAUAUUGCACAAUGGGCGCAAGCCUGAUGCAGCGACGCCGCGUGAGGGAUGGAGGCCUUCGGGUUGUAAACCUCUUUUAUCGGGGAGCAAGCGAGAGUGAGUUUACCCGUUGAAUAAGCACCGGCUAACUACGUGCCAGCAGCCGCGGUAAUACGUAGGGUGCAAGCGUUAUCCGGAAUUAUUGGGCGUAAAGGGCUCGUAGGCGGUUCGUCGCGUCCGGUGUGAAAGUCCAUCGCUUAACGGUGGAUCCGCGCCGGGUACGGGCGGGCUUGAGUGCGGUAGGGGAGACUGGAAUUCCCGGUGUAACGGUGGAAUGUGUAGAUAUCGGGAAA
rnacentral:rRNA from 1 species